UACGAAGGGGGCUAGCGGUGUUCGGAAUCACUGGGCGGAAAGCGCGUGUAGGUGGGUAUGCAAGCCAGGGGUGAAAGCCCAGAGCUCAACUCUGGAAUUGCCUGUGGAACUGCAUAUCUAGAGUCUUGUAGGGGGUAGUGGAAUUCCUAGUGUAGAGGUGAAAUUCGUAGAUACUAGGAGGAACACCGGUGGCGAAGGCGGCUACCUGGACGAGAACUGACACUGAGACGCGAAAGCGUGGGGAUCAAACAGG
rnacentral:rRNA from 1 species